rnacentral:other from 1 species
AAAUUCCUGGGGUGUGCGGGAACUGCCUGAUAUUUUGAACCUACAACAUUUUCAGGGAUCCGAACAUUUGCACCGGCUUGAAAUCAGGCCUCGACCGUUAACGGUUCGCUUUUCAGCGACAGUGGAAGAUUGAGAAGUCGGCAUAGGAGACCCACCUGGUCUUUUCCGGGUGUCAAAAUUCGGGCAUCGGCAUCUCGGGGUUUUG